rnacentral:lncRNA from 1 species
AACAUUCGGGAUCCUCACAUUUGUCAUUUUGCAAUUCCUUGCUACACAAGGCACUUGAAAAACGGUCUGUAACCCACAUUCACAGCAUUUCACACUGACAAAAAACUGACGUCAAUGAUCCAGAUCCUCGAAGUAACGUUUGAUACAUUGUGCAGAAAUGACGUCGACGAAGGCAUCUUCUACACUAUGUAGACAUCGAGAGAAGGAGAAACAGCUGCAAUGUAGAGAGGUCAACUUUUUCAGCUAAUUUAGCACUGGAGGAGUCGGUAACUGGG